rnacentral:lncRNA from 1 species
ACACCUUGAGAUAACUCUUUCUACAAAACCACGUUCAAAUUAUCACAAAAAAACUUCACAGAGUGAAGAAUGAAGGAAAAGAAAAAUGAUCACAAAUGGGUUUUUGUUUUAAUCAGGAAAUAGUUAUACACAUCUACAAGCAAGGACUGGAUGUUCUAUGUCAUGGAUCUCCCAAAACCCCUGGCACCAUUGGUUGACGGUCCAAAGUAUUUGACUUGCUAAAGAAUCUUUCCCUCCUAGAAGUGUAAAAUUCUACUUUAUUUUCCCUAUAAAAACAAACAAAAUAACUAUAUAUAUAUAUAUGCUGAUAUUGAACCAGAAUUAUAAAUAAUUUGUAAUGUCAGAUAUUUAAAUUCUACCUAUUUUAUAAUAUUUAUUUCAUAAAAGUCACAAGACUCACUUUGUUAUACAAUAGAGUUUUCAGAAUCACUUUA